GAUGAACGCUAGCGGCAGGCUUAAUACAUGCAAGUCGAGGGGCAGCAUGGGUGUAGCAAUACAUCUGAUGGCGACCGGCAAACGGGUGCGGAACACGUACAGAACCUUCCUUCGAGCGGGGAAUAGCCCAGAGAAAUUUGGAUUAAUACCCCAUAGUAUAUUGAAGAGGCAUCUCUUUAAUAUUAAAGAUUUAUCACUUGAAGAUGGCUGUGCGGCUGAUUAGAUAGUUGGCGGGGUAACGGCCCACCAAGUCUACGAUCAGUAACUGGUGUGAGAGCACGACCAGUCACACGGGCACUGAGACACGGGCCCGACUCCUACGGGAGGCAGCAGUAAGGAAUAUUGGGCAAUGGAGGCAACUCUGACCCAGCCCAUGCCGCGNGGAGGAUGAAGGCCCUCUGGGUUGUAAAGCUCUUUCAGCGGGGAAGAUAAUGACGGUACCCGCAGAAGAAGCCCCGGCUAACUUCGUGCCAG
rnacentral:rRNA from 1 species